UACAGAGGUCCCAAGCGUUGUUCGGAUUCAUUGGGCGCAAAGGGUGCGUAGGUGGCGCCGUAAGUCAGGUGUGAAAUCUCGGGGCUUAACUCCGAAACUGCAUUUGAUACUGCGGUGCUUGAGGACUGGAGAGGAGACUGGAAUUUACGGUGUAGCAGUGAAAUGCGUAGAGAUCGUAAGGAAGACCAGUGGCGAAGGCGGGUCUCUGGACAGUUACUGACGCUCAGGCACGAAAGCAUGGGGAGCAAAAGGG
rnacentral:rRNA from 1 species